rnacentral:lncRNA from 1 species
CACACACUCUCACACAUGCAUACACGCAGAGGAUACUCAGCACAGGGCUAGGGCAAUGGUUCCCUGAAGAGGGAGGAAGGGAGGCUUUUCCAAACUUUUUCUUCCUCACAGAAAGUUCGAAAAAAAAAAAUCAUUGCAUAAAGGAUCAGUCAAACUAUUUCCAGUGGUGCUUAUGACCAGCUAAGUGGGAGAGGACAGAAAAAGAGGCCACUGCUGGGACAGGAGAGUCCUUCAUCCAGAAGUCUCCUUACUUCUCUCCUGCUACUCCUGUCGAGGAAGAGAAAUUCCAACCCAACUAAAAUCAUCCUGCCUUGCUUUGUACAAGAGGGAGGGGAAGCCAGAUCUGUUGAGCCACCCCUGCCAAGAAGUAGCCAAAUGCUCUCUGAAUUGCCGGGGCCAAACUGCAGCAUGGGCAGGGUAACUCGCGAGCCUGAGCUCGCUGCCUGCUCCUUCCAGCUCGGCAGAGCCAUCACAAACAACUCUCACGACGGUUAAAGAAUUCCGGCACAAAGCAGACGAAGGCAGAUCUGGCCUCUCUAAAGCAGCUCAGAGCGACCACGGGAAGCAGAGACCGAACCGCAGCCGUGUACGAGGGGACCCAGCAGCGCCUGUGCCUGAACCGUACUGCUCCCCAAACGGGGAGGAGGUGGGCUGGCUUUCCAGAGCUCAGCCCAAACCUCACGGCAGCUUUCUGCUUUUAUGGUAGGCUAAAUCUCUAAGUCCGGCAUUUGAGCGCUGUAAGAUUUAAAAGUCUGUGCUUUACAGUUUCUUUGAGCCACCAACUGUCUUUUCUGGUAAGAAAUCCCUGAUCUGCAAAGACUAAUUAACCUGUGGAUGGUUUUGCAGUUAUGAAGGCACAGAACUUUGCAUCAUUGCCCACAGACAAGCAUCUAGUUUUCUGUCUUUGAGAGUUCUUAAGACUCUUCCACUUCAAUAAAUAAAGGCAACAUAAACAAAGUUAAUGCUUUAAUUCCGUGUCCUUCAUUUUCCUCAAGCAAAGAUCUUCCUGCACUGAAUUCUGAAUUGAAUCUUUAUCAAAACCUCUCAACAUGAGAACUGAAAAUAAAUGUUUCAGAAAACAAUUUCAAGAAACUCAGUAAUUUCAC